ensembl:lncRNA
CUUUUAGUUCAAUCAUUGGAGGAAAUGGUUCUUAACUAACAAGCCAAAUGGGGCUUCCAGACCACAGCACGACUCUGAAAUUGGUUAUUUCCAGUGGUUUGCACCAAACCAUGACAUCGUGUCAAAAUACACAAGCUUUGGAACACCAACCAUCCAAACCAUUCUUUGUAAACUCUGAAAUACUCAGACCAACAACCGUGCCACAUCUGUCUUCCUCAGUCAGAUGCUCAGUUUGAACAUAGGCAGGACUUCUAUUUGUUCACAUUUUGCAUCCAAUCUAAUAAAGCUGUCAACCUCUCAUCCCGCAAAAACAAUGACUAACAGCUUAGAGUGACUCAUCAGCCCACAGAUAUCUGACACCGAGC